UUCAGGUUAAAUCUGGUUUCAUUCCCUUGUUAUGGUAGUUUGUUCUAAUGUGACUGAUUUGAAGGAGUUAACUAUUUGCCCAUACAGAGAGCCAAAACAGCUAGCGAGAGUGAUCCUCUAGCAAGAACUGAACCUCAAAAGCUAAACGAAAAUGUAAAGGAAUACGAUGAUGUUGCCUCUACAUCACCAAAAUCCAAUGAAGCGUCUCACUCUACCUCUGGUUCUCAGGUGUCUAAUAAAACCUUUUUCUCAUCUUUGAUUUUUCCAUUUGACCCCAAAAUCAUGUCUCUCCAUCUUCAACAGUGGAGAAGAACAUAUUACAACAUUUAUGCUUAAAAACACACUGAUUCAGUCAUAGUCGCUUAAACAAUUUAUCUUGAUACAGGAACUUUUAACUCUUCUCUACUGCAUAUUAUAAAUUGUUUUCUUCGUUUGGGCAACCACAGGAACCAAAAAGCCCCUACGUGGAAGAACCAAAACUCGGGGAGCAACAGUUCAACUAUUAUUUCCCAAGACCCGCACCACCACCUGGCGUAGAGAAACACACUUCGACUGGCUAUGAUUGAUUGAGAAUCGGAGGUAUCUGUUCUUGUUGCUUACUCAAAACCCUUUGGUAUAUAGUAGUAUAUACAGCAGUCUUAGUAAAUUAAUAAUAUUGCAGUUGCGUGCCGUUAAUGUAAAAAUUAUUCUUUUUUCUUUGGUUUUGGUGAAUUUAAUGUGAAUUCGUCUUGUUAGAAGAAAACGAUUGGUGUUGAAAGCACAUGAAAGAGCUCUUUUUUUUUUGUGAUCAUGUGUUAUUUGCGACACAUUCCGUUGAAAUGAUUGUGAACUGCAUAAUGAAUCCAAAUUGCAACAAAUGACAAUGGCCAUGGAAAUGCUUUUUACACAUAACUUAGCAGCUUCAAUGACUAAGCUCUUUAUUCAAGAAAAGGGUAAUCCGUGUAACCCACAACAGGAUCAGAAGUGUAAAAUGUUGGCCUAUCGUAUUUAUUGAGCGGAGCAUCCACUUGGAACUUCUUAGGAAGAUCAGGAUUCGCCAAAAACAAUCCAUCGUAGGCCACGAGAUCGGUCCGUCCUUUUGUCACAGCCUACUAAGAAUGCCGAGUCCAUCAAAAUUGAAGAGAAAUAUAUCUCAACGUAGAGCCAUUUGGAGCCUGUCACGGAAACUGUUAAAACCGAAGCAGCUGAAGUGAAGCUGCUCUCACAAGAUUCACAACCGCAAAGAAAGAGGGAAGUCAAAAGAAUGUCGCUAAGAAGCACGUUGACAUAGCAAAUGUAUUUUUCAUACAUAGCCACAUUUUACCACACCCAUACACAGGGCCGGCCCUGACCUAAAGCCCAUGAAGCAAGGGUUUUAGGCGCCAAAUUAUAUAUCAAAUUUAAGGGCAUCAUUUUUAACAAAUUUUCUUUUAGUGUAGUGAUUUGACCAAUAUUUUUGCUUCCUUAAUGUCUGGAGUUCAAACUCCUAUGUCUGCAUUUUAUUUUUUCAGUUUUUUAACUUGCCUUCUUUUUUUAUUUGAUGGGCAUCAUUUUGAAGUUGAGCUUUACGUGUACAAGGAGUUUGGGCCGGCCCUGCUCAUACAUAUAGACUUCUCUCUAACUACUCUUCCUAACUCUCAUCAUUGUUGCACCUUAACUCUAACACAUAGACCAACUUACACAAACUAUACUAACUUAGACUCUAACAACUUACCUUUUAGGACUUUAACUACUAUUCUAGACUUAAUCAUCACAAAGCGCACACACAUACACAAACUCCUCUUUUAUUCGUUUGGGCUAACAUAUGAAGCCCAACUUUUUUCGUUGACUCUUCUCUCCCUUUGACUUUUCUCUUCUUCUUCUUCCUUUCCAAAAACACGAUCAGCUUCUUUUUCAGUUCUUCAUCUGAUUGUUUAUUGCUAGUUGAUGCUUCUUGUCCUUCUUUUUCUUUUGCAGGGAUACUCAAAGGAGACUCUCAAGAAAUUUCCAAAUAAAAUGAUAGUGGCUUAUUAUAUGUCAUCGAUUCCUUUUUUGGUUGACAUGGAUCCUUCAACUCUAAGAUUUAUCAAGACUUGGAAUGAUUCUUUGUAAAAAAAUGAAAAAUUUAAUGAGAGAGCUAACGAAACCACCGCGUGGAGAAGAAUGUAUAUAUAUCCUUUUUUUGUCCUGGCCGAUUCAAACAAAAACGUAAUACCUUCAAGAAAAGUAAAAGACUUUCUUUCUUCUUCUUUGAUCCGACCAGCACUUUGUCUAAGUUUGCUGUUUCCAUCUCCGGCGAUCUGAGUUUGUGAGAUUCGGUGUGUAGGAUUUUGAUUUGUGGUCAGAAGAUUAGAUGGUGAAGGAAACGGAGUACUACGAUGUGCUCGGCGUUAGCCCAGCUGCUACAGAGGCUGAGAUCAAGAAAGCUUACUAUAUCAAGGUUUUAUUUUAUCUUUCUCUUCUGUGUUCCAGAUUUUGAUUUCAGGGUUUCAAUUUUUGGUUAUCAUAAAUCGGGGAAGAGACCUUGAAUUUUUUGACAAAGUUAUGUUUUUUGAGAACUAGUCUAUGUAGUGAGGUUAUAACUUUGUUAAAAAUCUGCCCAUUUCCAGUUUGAAAUUUAGAGUGAACAAGUAUAGUGAUUGUUGACUUGUUUGUUUAUUAUACACAGGCACGCCAAGUUCAUCCAGAUAAAAACCCAAAUGAUCCUCAAGCUGCACACAAUUUUCAGGCAAGUUCAAAAUUUAGGUGAUAAAGUUUUGUAUUGUAACUUUGUGCGGUAUGCUUGUGUAUUGUAACAUAGAGGAUUCCUUAUUCAGGUGUUGGGAGAGGCCUAUCAAGUGCUAAGUGAUUCAGCGCAACGCCAAGCUUAUGAUGCAUGUGGCAAAGCAGGGAUCUCACUGUUAGUCUCUUUUUUCUUGUGGAGUAUAGUCUAGUGACAUGGAUCUUUCUCGGUGCAGAAAGUUUUGGGUCCUUACUUUUUUUCUCGCCAUCCUUUCAGUGUUACAAUAAUCAAUCCUGCGGCAAUAUUUGCAAUGCUUUUUGGUAGCGAACUUUUUGAAGGAUACAUAGGACAUCUUGCUAUGGCGUCAAUGACUAAAUUUGAUCUCUUCGGUGAAAGAGAUCGGUUUGAUACCAAAAAAUAUCUAGAAAAAAUGAGGGUAGGUCUUGGAAUUAUUAAUUAACGUGUUCUCCUGCUUGAGCCAAUUCUUCAUUGUACAAAAUAUGCUAAGAUUGUGGAUUGUUUUUGGGUUCAGACUGUCCAGAAAGAAAGGGUAGACAAGCUUGCUCAGAUUCUCAAAGACCGCCUUAACGAAUAUGUGGUAAACAAAGACGAAUUUGUUUGUAAUGCUGAAGCUGAAAUGGUAAGACUCUCAAAUGCAGGUAAUAUAUGUAUUCUACACACCGUUUCCUGUUUCUUUGUGUUAUGCAUUAUCUUUCAAUUAAAUACCAUCGCUGUGCUAAAAUGAGUCUCACCUCCUCCUAUUUGUAUCUUCUUCAGCGUAUGGUGUGGAAUUGUUGAAUACAAUUGGGUAUAUAUAUGAAAGACAAGCAGCAAAAGAGCUUGGGAAGGAAGCUAUUUAUCUCGGAGUACCAUUCAUUGCUGAAUGGUGUAGGAACAGAGGUCACUUAAUCAAAUCUCAGCUAAGUGCUGCAACAGGUUAGUGGCUUUGUAAAAAGGUCAAGUAAUGAAAGUUCUUGCAAAACAAGACAUGUUGUGAUUUAUAGAAUCUGGUCUGGUCUGGCUUUGUGACUUAAUUAAGAAAAUUCUUGCUGAAUUUCUCGAAUCUGGUCUUCUCUCUUAGCAAGCAAGACAUGUUGUGAUUUAUUUAUUUUUCCUGGCUGUUUACUGUCAUCCUAGGAGCAUUCGCUUUCCUCCAGCUGCAAAGGGAAAUGAUAAGACAGCUAAGUGCUGGAGUAAAUUUUACCCAAGGGGAACUUGAGGAAUACCUUCAGUCCCAUAAAGGGAUUAUUGAUUCUCUGUGGAAGCUCAAUGUUGCUGAUAUCGAAGCCAUUCUUUCCCGUGUUUGUCAGCUGGUAUGUCUAGCUUAACCAAUACUCAUGUUCACUCUAUCUGUCAUCUUGGUUCAAUUUCUUUAAGUUUUCUAAACCUAUCUAUGAUUCUCAUUGUAUAGGUUCUUCAAGAUCCAGAAGCCAAAAGAGAGGAGCUUCGUGCAAGAGCAAGAGGGUUACAAACUCUGGGGAGGAUCUUUCAGGUUAAAUCUGGUUUCAUUCCCUUGUUAUGGUCUAGCGCAUAUUUUGUUCUAAUGUGACUGAUUUAAGGGAUUUCAAUUUUCUCUCAUACAGAGAGCCAAAACAGCUAGUGAGAGUGAUCCUCUAACAAGAACUGAACCUCAAAAGUUAAACGAAAUUGAAAAGGAGUACGAUGAUGUUGCCUCUACAUCACCAAAAUCCAAUGAAGGGGGGUCACACGUUCUUACUUGGAAAGAGCUGUCUCAUUUAGGCCUACACGUUGUUGGACACGUAGGCC
rnacentral:lncRNA from 1 species